rnacentral:lncRNA from 1 species
CCGCUGCACAACACACAAGACGAUUGAUCCAGUCAAACAUUUGCACCACGUACGCCUUCCUCAUGAAGGCUAGUGAGUAGUAUGACUCGUUGACUCGUGUAGGUUCGUCGUGCGUGCAUGCAAAGUUUUGGAUAUAUGGAUCAUCCUCACCUGCCGGAUGGGAAGAUCUUGGGGCAGUGCUCGAGGUAGAAGUCGUUGAUGUCCUUGGCAGCAAAGAGCGGACGGCCGUCCUUGUUCGGCGCCGUGAGCAUGGCCGUCACCAGCCCGCCGGUGCUGGUCCCGGCGAUCACGUCGAAGUAGUCCGCCAGCCUCGCGUCCGGCCCGUCGAGCUCCUGCAGUCACGAAAUCCAUGCAUGGUCAGAGCUGGCCGGUACGGUGCAUCGGAGAGAGAACAGAGUUGUGUAUGAAUCAUCAUGAACCUGCAGCUUUUCCUCGAGGAAGCCGAGGAUGGUGCCCGGGAUGAUCCCGCGCACGCCACCGCCGUCGAUGCUCAGCACGGUGACGAUGCUCCCGUAGGCCGGCGGAGGCGACUUGGGCGUGCCCAGCGUCGACGUCGACGCGCCGCGGCUGAGCGCCCGCCGCGCCACCGGGUUCAGCGUCAGGCCGGAGCCGGAGCCGCUGGUGCCGGCGAGCUCCCCAGCAUACACCGGCGCCAUGGAAGACACGUACGAUCUACGACCUACGUACUUCGUUCACUCGAUCACCGAGUAAUCAACAAUCAGACAGACCAGACCUCAGUCACCUCACUAGCUCGGAGAAAGGAGAUGCUCGUUUGUGCUGUUGGCUAUUGAGCGAGUGUAUUCGUGCUAUGUAGCAGUAGCUGGGUCGAUGCAGGAGAAUUUAUAACCGAUGGAGAUCGAGCAGGGUUAAACGAUAACGAACGGGGCAACACGGGGGGUUUACUGAAUCAAAACUGGAGAUUUCGUCAGCAGAUACUAGCUAGGAGAUCGAGGUCGAAGUUCGUGAGUCCCCAAAGGAAAAUGGAUGAUGACGAGUCCGAAAGCUGCAUAUUUUGAACAAAUCAAAGAGUGAACACAGGGGAGGCAGCCGAUCAGCCGAGCACGUACUACGUACGCGGGGCCCUUUGAGAAGAUCCAGUCCGGUCGCCGUCGCGGUGUUGGCCUGGCGUGACGACGAUAGCUAGAUCGCAGGAAGGAAGGAUCGGGUCAAGGUCGCGCACGAGUGGAGUAGUGGAAACCGCGAUAUUUUUUUCUGGGCUUGCUCGGUGGAAAAGUCCAGUCCCGCUCCGCACUUCCGCUUCGGCGUGAUGGGCAGCAUGCAUGGGCCGGAAAACCUACUGUUUUCCGCGGCAGGCAGCCCAUCCAUUCGAUCGGUGCCACUUGCCAGGUUUGGCUGGCUUUUUCGCUUGCGCGAAUUGCGAUCGCGACUCCGACGUAGCUGAUUGCCACCACGUCGCCGGCCGGUGUAGAAGGACGGACGUAUGCGGGCGUGCGUACGUACGCGUAUCGAGGAAUUUCUACGCUGGGGAAGCGGCCGGAUCGGAAGUCUCGCUCGUACGUGCCUUGUUUCGCAGCGCGUUGUUGGGACGACGAAAUACUAGUUGAUUGUUGGUUCAGAUCGAUGACGCAUGACUCGUGUAAGUGUGUGACUGUUUGGCAGGAAGAGAUUCAAGCUUGGCAGGCACCGCCCUACGUAACGUACUCCACACAUUUGUGUUCUGACCGUUGAUUUUUCACUUGUCACACAUAGGUACUGGACCAAGGAACAGGAGACCAACUUAGGGAAGAAAGGACGACCGGGACAGAAAUGACAAGUGUCAAGUGCGGUUUCUACACUCAAUUGGCCGUGCACUAUUCUAUCUUAUCUCUUUACUCUUUCUAAUUGGGUAAAGGACCAUUGGAAGAAAGCACCGUACGUGUUGAUCUUUCCAAUUUUCUAGUCCAAACACUCUCAAAAAAAAAAAAUCUAGUUCAAACGAGAGAAACCUCAAAGUUUUAUUUUUUCUAAAUUCACUGCCUCUCUGUUAUAAUAAAAAUAAAUAAUAUCCUAUGAUUUAAUUUCCCAAUUUUUUUAUUAUGAAAUACAAUAUAUAUCAACUCUCGACAUUUGGUACUGUAUUUUGACAUUUUUAGAUAUACGUUUUUUACUAUAUAUAUAUAAUGUAUAAAUAAAGUAUGUAGUACAAUCUAUAUCUACAAAAGCUAAAACAUUAUAUAUAUAUAUAUAUAUAUAUAUAUAUAUAUAUAUAUAUAUAUAUAUAUAUAUAUAUAUAUAUAUAUAUAUAUAUAUAUAUAUAUAUAUAUAUAUGUAUAUAUAUAUAGUAGAAGUAAUAUAUUUAAAAAACAAAACAUCUUACCAGUAUCAGUGGGGGUUUUAUGUUGCUGUUUUCAAGUCUCUCAUAUGCUAGAAACAGUCUAGACAAGUUUCUUCCACAUGAAACUUUCAUCAUAUCUCUCUUCAUCUAUUACUAUACCAUAUUAUCUUAUUUAAUGUACUAUUCUCACAAAACCUCCACUAAGACUGACUUUAUAAUUUGAAUCGGAGAAAUGCACUACGGUUUGAAGGCACCCAAUUGUCAACGUCGUUAGCCCCCUUGUUUUGCUUUAUUCAGCUGUGUCGUGCAUGGUUCAUGCAUGCCUUGCCACUUGACUGCUUCAUUUUUAUAUAUAUGGGGAGGCUUGUGAUUAGCACUAGCUAGUCGCCUGCUCGCUUAGCCGAAAGUCUGUCCGUGAGCAUUGCAUUGUUUUAUACAGAGAACCCGGCCCCUUUUGCUACUAUAAUUUAUCUCAGCAGUUCGCAGAACAUUCCAUCGUGUUUUGCCAAGCCUAACAUUCUACGCACGUCCCACAUGUUUCUAUUUUUCGAAACAUAAAAAAAAAACUCGAUCUACGCACAUCGAUCACAUCCAGCUCCAUCACGUGAAAGUUCAACGGGAUGCUGCAGUGCAGCUGGUGCAGAGAGAAAAUUAAAAAGGUAGCCAUCAUGUACAGCUAACGAUGAUGUUGAGUACGUAAUUAAGUUUAGUACGUAGUAUAUAUCAAUCGAUCGUGCCAUCAGUAGGGUAUCAAAUUCAAAGACAAACAUGGACCAGCACUAUUAAACGUUGCAUCGUUGUGACAAGUCAGAUGUACGCAGCUAGCUUUGCUUUCUUAAACAAAAGGAUAUACGCAUACAGGUUCAGAACAAGAUAUGAUCAUUGUAGAAAUAUAAUCUCUCUUCAAAUACUCUUCCUCCCGGUGCUUUUAAUUAAAUCCCUCCGUUUCUGAAUAGGGUAGAACAUUUGUGACUUCACUAUACGCAUUUCCUAGACCGGAAACUAUGCGUGUGGGCGACUUGGAUAAUUGUCACGUUGUCGUUUUACAUAUACCACCACGUACACUUCAAGAUAAGAAUGGAUAUAUAUAUAAAUAUUUUUCACAAAUCAAACAGGACCAAGGUUUGCAUAGUCCAUAAUCAAUAGCGUGGACAUGUGUUAAAAACGACUAGUAGUAUAUAAAAAUUAAAGAGUACGCCACCUUUAAUUUUCCAGCAUAUGACACGGUUAUUAUGCUAAGUUGAUUCCGUGGACUACCUUUAGAUUUGUGAUGACUAAUCGGUGGUUUGAAAGUUUCUGAUGAUAUGCAUCACUGUCGUUCGGCAAGUAACAUUUUACUCUGCAGCAAUUUUAAUAUGGUACCGAGACUUUAUUUUUAGGACCUAGUCACUAAAAUACCAAAUACCUCCCUCUAAAAGAGUCACUAAAGUUUAGUGGCUUUAGUAGAUAAGGGGCUACUAAAAGUGACUAAAGUGCAAACAUGGCCUGUUUGGUUUACCCCCACUAAAGUUUAGUGCUUGCAUUAAUUAAGGGUAAUAUGGUCUUUGUUUAGUGCUUUAGUGGUCUUUAGUGAAUAGAACCAAACAGGGUGCUAUUAAACUUUAGUGGGGUCACUAAACUUUAGUUUGAUCACUUUAGUUAUACGAUGUUUGGCAAACUAUGCUGAUAGACACCGCACAAAUAUCUAAUAUGUUGAUGGACAUCACUAACUCUAAAAUAUACUUAGUACCAUUAUAAAAUUAUAAUUCUUUGCUAUUAGACACCGCACCUAUUAAAAUAUUUAUUUUUGUCAUUCCCAAGAUAGCAAGGACAAUUAAUAGACCAAAUUUCCCCUUGAUUCAUCGUCCACCUCUGUCCGUUAUCCAAUAAUGGCUGAGGGCUGUCCGUGUGGAGGGUUUGGGGUAAAGUUGAGCAUGCAGCCCGCGGACCAAAGGCACGGCCUAAAGCACGGUGAUUUGGCCCGGCCCGAGCAUUGCACGGCCUGAUCCUAACUAGGCUCGGGCCGACCCGAAACACGUAGCGGGCUAUGCUUAGGCCGACCCCUCGGCCCGCUGGGCGGCACGACACGGCCCGCUUAUAACAAUAGGCACGGAAAUGGCCCGGUAUCAGGGAAUUUGUGAAACUUGAAGUAUCAGGUUCUGUGACUUAUGAAACUUGUGACUUUUGGUAAGUGAAAUAUGAUCUGAGAGUAUAUUGUGUUAUGUGAAUUGUGAAGUAUUAAUAUAUGUGACUUGAAUGCAAUGUACUUAUGCUUUGUUAAAUUCUGUAUUAAAUUUGGUGUUUUCAUAUAGCAUGGCUCAUGGGCCGACCCGAAGGACUAUUGGGCCUCGUGCUUUUCGGCCCGGUCCGAUCGGCCCAUAGGCCGUGCCUGGGCCGUCAGGCAGGCAAGGUGGCCUGUGGAGGCACGCGGGCCUUACGGGGCCGGGCUGGGCCGGCCCGUUGCUCAUAUUUAGUUUGGGCGGCUCCGAUUAGGCUGAGCCGGCAACACGAUAGCGUCGGGUGCUCGCUAGCCUACAGAGCUACCAGUCGUCGUGCACAACCGCUUCCUCCAUUUCUGUUGCGUUGCCUGACAUGUAGUCGUAAAUGCUUCAAACAAUGUACACGACAAGAGUGGAUGCAACAAUAGUGGUAGCAAUAGGAGCAAAUGCGAGGCAAAGCACUGAUGCGAGGUAAAGUACACAGUGUACUAUGUGGCUCGUUGCGCAGGAGCCAAUGCUCGAUGGGUUGGUGAAGCUCACCAGAAAUGGUGGAAUUUUUCUAGUAUUUUUAAGUAGUAAUAAAAUACUAUCAUUAGUCAUUAGUCAUAGCACAUGAGAAUCCUUAUUAGAAGGCAUUUGGUAGUGAAUAUUUGUACUAAACGUUGAAUGCUAAAACAUUAGGACAACCCUAAAUCCCUAAAAGAAGUGGAGAUUUUUGUUUGUGCUAGUGUGAUAUGAUGAGUCAAUGUGUGUGUGAUGUGUUAGGUAUCGACAUGUCAUACGUUGAGACUCUGUAUACAACUGUUGCAGUAUAUAUAUAUCAGAACAGCUAGCGCCCGGAUGUCCGACGCCCGCAACGCGUCUGGACGCUGAGCCCCCAACCUGCGCCACACGGAGAAAAAAAAGAAAAGUAAACCCCAUCCAUCUGUAAUCAACUCGUCCCUGCCCCACUUGCCCCACACGGAAGACUAUCCUUUGUCCGCUCCAUCCUAACCAACUUGCCUCUGCCCACUCACCCUGCACAGAGGACCGCCCUACGUCUGUUCCCCGCGCAAGGAACCCGCCCCCACCCCCAUGAGCAUGGGAUCCGCCCUGCCCCUCGCCUUGUGAAAGGUCCUAAUAUGGCUAGAGGGGGGAGGUGAAUAGCCUAUUUAAAAAUUCUACAAACUCACUAGAUUAAGAGGUUAGUAAAUAACAAAGUGAAGCUUUUUGCUCUAGCUCUAAUGGGGUGUUUGCAAGCCACCUAUCUAACAAUUCUAGUUGAUAUAAAUACUAGGCACACAAGAGCUAUGUCACCACAAGCUACACUAGUGAACUAUGCUACACAAGGCAAGACUAGCAACUAGACUAGUUACACUACUUUGCGGUAAGUAAAUGGAAAGGAAGAGAUAUUUAUACCGCCUUGUAGGGAAUGAACCAAUCACCAAUAUAUGAACAAUCAAGCACUGUGAGAAUACCAAUCAAACACAAUUGAGACACCGAUUUUUUCUCCCGAGGUUCACGUGCUUGCCGGCACGCUACGUCCCUGUUGUGUCGACCAACACUUGGUGGUUCGGCGGCUAAGAGGUGUAGCAUGAACCUCAUCCUUACUAGGACACCACAAGAACCUACCCACAAGUGAGGUAGCUCAAUGACAUGAGCAAUCCUAUAAUGUUGCCUUUGGCUCUCCGCCGGGGUAGGCACAAAACCCCUCAGAAUCACCGGGACAUGGCCACGAACAAUCACCAACUCGUGCCAAUGCUCCUCCGCUACUCCAAGCCAUCUAGGUGGCGGCAACCACCAAGAGUAACAAGAAAACCGCAGUCAAAUCGAUCCCCAAGUGCCACUAGAUGCAAUCACUCAAGCAAAUGCACUUGAAAUCACUCCCAAUCUCACAAAGAUGUUUGAUCUAUGAAGGAGAUGAGUGGAAGGUGUUUGCUUAGGCUCAAAAGGAUGUCAAGUAUGCUAGAAUGCCAAGAGAGUGAGCCCCAAGCCGACCAACAACUAUUUAUAAGCUCCUCAAACAAAUAGAGUCAUUGGCUCUUUUACUAGGCUGAAAACAGGACCACCAGACUCGCUGCAAGUGAGGCACCAGACUCUAGAACAGAGCAUCCGGUGCUCCAGAAAUAGCCACGUGUUAGCUCUUUGAAUCUCACGUGUCGAACUCUAACGGUCACCUGCAAACCACCGGACGCGGUCAAGUGAGCACCGGACGCGUCCGAUGCGCACCGGUCACGUAUGCAGAGAGGUUUGCAAAAAUGCAGGAGCACUGGACUCACUCCUGAGCGUCUGGUCCCUUACUCAGAGAGCGCUGCAAACGCGCAAGGACACCAGAUUCUCACCACCGGACUCACUCCGAGCGUCCGGUGCUCUCAGUCAAUCUCACUGCUGAAGUCAAGCUACACCGGACGCAUAUACAGGGUCUAGCCCACGUUCGGUGCUUGGCGUCCGGUGCACAACCCUAACAACGCCAGAGAAAGUCAACAUAUUCGCUUGCCGCUAACUCGUUCGGUGCCUGCGGUCAGAGCGUCCGGUGAGUGCUUUUCGGUGAGGAACACUCCGACGACUUUCUCCAAACUUUCCACCGGCGCAAUAGAAAAUAUGCAUUUUAUUUUCUCAAAAGCGUCGCAUCCCAAGAGGAACCCAAACCCCUCUCUACCCUUCAACUUCCACCUCCUUCUUAAGUGUGCUAACACCACCAUGUGUGUACCAACAUGUGCAACUAUGUUAGCAUUUUUACAAACAUUUUCUUCGAAGGAGUUAAAUUAGCUCACUAGGUUCGAAAUGCAUGUACAUGAACAAUGACAACUAGUGGCACUUGAUAACCGCUUAGCCAAAGAAUUCCCCUCUUUAGUACGACUAUCUAUCCUAAACGUGAUGACACAAUCUAUGGUAUCUUGAUCACCAAAACCAAAAACCUAAUUAAGCAAUACUUUUGCUUUGAUCUCCAUAGGGUUUUGUUUUUCUCUUUCUUCUUUUCCAAGUUGAGCACUUGAUCAUCUUGUGGUCAUCACGAUUAUCAACAUGAUCAUCUCUUGCUCCAUCACUUGGCAUGUACCAACCUCACUAAGUCUACACACACUUAGUAUAGAGGUUAGUACUAGGGUUUCAUCAAUUAUCCAAAACCAAACUAGGGCUUUCACCUUGCCGGCCCCUAGCAGAUUCGCUUGCCGCUAACUCGUCCCCACAGCCCGUCCCCAUAUACUUGACGCUGCAACACAAUACGUAUGAUAGUGCAACAACACCAAAUAUAAUGCUGCAACAAUAGGUUGAAGUAGCUGAAACACCAUAAAUAUAGUAUUACAACAAACAAUGAACAACUGCUGCAACAGCAUACAAACAACUACUACAACAUACAAAUUGAAGUAUUAGAUGUAACAGCUGAAAACACCAUGAACAUAGUAUUACAACGAUAACGAACGACUAUUGUAACAACAUGUAUCAACUAAUACAACAACAUAGAUUGAAGCAUUAGAUGGAGCAACCAAAACACCAUAGAUAUAGUAUUACAAUAACACCAAACAACUGUUGCAACAACUAAUACAACAUUGCAAAUUGAAGCAUUAGAUAGAGCAACUGAAACACCAUGGAUAUAGUACUACAACAACACUGAAACAACAUCUCAAAACACAGUACUGCAACAACGGCUAAAACCUACUGCAACGUCUAGAGAGAACCAUUGCAACAAUAACGAGAUUUGAACCUGAGAGCUCACUGAAACCCUAUCCUACUGCAACAUAACCUGAAAAGAUACCACAAACCACCAUUGCAACACGCGUGAGCACUGAACCCCAAGAGUUCACUGGAACCCUAGCCACCACAACAUCCUGUAGAUCUAGACCCAGAGGAAGAGGAGAAGGACGAGGAGGAGCAAAAGCUGGAAGAGGUGGAGGAGGAGUAGAGGAGGCCUCAGAUCCAGAUCCACAAGAGGAGGGAGGGGAAAUGGAGAGAGAGGCCUCAGAUCCAAAUUCCUCCACACCUACUUCGUUAGAGACGCGCUGUCGUCUGCAUCUUGAGAUGCAUGGAGGUCGUGAGAGCGAGGGAGAGAGAGAGAGCAGGGAGGAAGGGAGGCACGCCGCUCACUGGAAGUUGCCGCCAUCGCGCUCCACUCCGGUGGCAUAGAGGGCGCGUGGGUUGCAGCGGGGAGGGAGGGAGGAAAGGAGGGAGGAGCGGCUUGCUGGUGGCGCGGCAUAAAGUGCAGGCGCAUGUGCGAGCGGCAGGAGCGGCAGCAAGAUGAGAGGGAAGAGUGGAGAUGAAAAUGAGGAGUGGAUAAGAAGGCAUGGAGGAGCAGUGAAAUGAGUGGAUAGGAGCGUUCGGACGGAUGGAUGUCUGGUGUAUAUCAUUACUGUAUAUAUAUGGGCUAUAUAGAAAAAAAUUCAGUAGGUGGAGGGUCAAGGUUGUUCCUUGUGAACAGGAACAAUUACUUUUUACUCUUAACUAAAUAAAAUCAAAUUACUUCAUUAUUACUCUAACUAAAUAAAGUUAACAAGCAAAAUAUUUUACACACAUCAGACGACCAGAAUUAAUCAGAGGCUUAGCUGCUUAUAGGUACUCAAGUCAAAAGUACAUGAUAGUACCCAUCAACCAAUACAAAAGAACUCAUAUAAAUAAGAUAGUCCGUGUUGGAGGCAGAUUUGGUGGAGUAGCGUGUAAAUAGACAAAUUAUGCAAGCUGUACAUUGUGCAUCAUGAUAGGAUAGACACUUUAGAAGAACUAACUGAAGAGGAUACACAGAACGAAUGAAAUGCAGAACACAUGCGGCUUAUUAGGGAGCUAUCAUGUAGUACACUUUUUGAACACAUAUUUGACACAAGUAUCAUCCGGGCGGCCUCUAUAUCUCCAGGUUUAAUUAGAUUGUGUUGUCACCCUUUCUCUGGAUCCUAGCCCGGCGCUCGCGUACCAGCAUCUUGGCGAAACGGAUGAGUUCAUCCUCAUUGGUGCCCCUUUUGACGUCGGGCUCGUUCUUGCCUGUCUCGAUGUUCACCUUGCACGCCGGCUUCUUCAGCAGCCCCUUGCCGACGUCGACGAGGCGGUUCAGGUUCUCCAUGGUGGACACGUCGACGGACGACGUUUCUCCGGUGAGCUCGUCGUCCUGGAUCCGGAGGUACUGCCUCUCCGAGUGCAGCGCCUGGAAGAGCACGGAGGCGUGGAUGUCGACGAGGUCGGCGCUGGCCUGGCUGAAGCUGUCGAUGAUCGGCGUGGUGUCCUUGUUGCUGAGCCACCCCAGAAGACCCCACUUGCUGGACUGCACGGCGUCGAACUUCUCCUCCGCCUUGGCGGUGCCGGUGCCCAGCGACAGCACCAUGAACUUGCCGUAGUCCGCUGGCUUGAUCGGGAAGAAGUCCUGGUUGCCCAGCAGGAUCUGCUUGCUCACGUCCGUCAUCGCCAGCAGCGUCUGCAAAAUUUGUCAAGUUUGGUGCACGUUUCGUCAGCUUAUACUAGCCUCGAUUGGUAACAGUUCAUAGAGAAGUCAACUCAACAUUAAACGGUUGGUAAUCCACUUGUUUUUAUUUACUACAUGCCGUUGACAGUACUCUACUGCAAAUUAAAUUAAUUUGUCAAGUUUGGUGCACAUUUUCUUAUCUAGCUAGCUAGUACUAGCUAUAGCUAAGUGUUAAUUUACUCGUCACCUAGUGUUUGUACGUUGCCGUUAGCACGUCAGUUGUGUGUGGUCAAUAAUCACAAUUAAUCAGUCACUCACAGGAUUGUUUGCAGCGACGCCUCCGUCGAUGAGGUUGAAGGCCCGGGGCUUGCCAUCCUUGUCCUUGGUCUCGAACUGGUGUCCUGGGAGGUACGUCGGCGCGGCGGACGUGCUGAUGCACACGUCCGAGAGCAGAGCGUCCUUGGAGACAUCGUUAAUGGCCUGCGUGCGUAAGUCACCGGAGCGUUAUUAGCACGGUGAAAUUAAGGUUCAAACCAUCGUUAUCAAGUGUAGUUAACUUCUGCAAUGGACUUAUGGACGUCGUCGUACAUCGUAUUUGGAGAACACGGUGGGCUGCAUGAGCUUGAUGUCGAAGGUCGGGAUGACGAUGUUCUGGAGCGCCUGGCUGACCUUCGUCUCGCCGAGGAGCUCCCGGACGAGGGAGUGGAGGUACUUGCCGUCGUACUUGGGCCCCGACAACUUCUUGAACAACCCUAGAGGACCGCCGCUGCUGUUUGGUGGGAAGAUCUUGGGGCAGUUCUUGAGGUAGAAGUCGUUGAUGUCCUUGGCGGCAAAGAGCGGCCGGCCCUCCUU